UACGGAGGGAGCUAGCGUUGUUCGGAAUUACUGGGCGUAAAGCGCGCGUAGGCGGCUUUGUAAGUUAGAGGUGAAAGCCCGGGGCUCAACCCCGGAAUUGCCUUUAAGACUGCAUCGCUUGAAUCCGGGAGAGGUGAGUGGAAUUCCGAGUGUAGAGGUGAAAUUCGUAGAUAUUCGGAAGAACACCAGUGGCGAAGGCGGCUCACUGGAACGGUACUGACGCUGAGACGCGAAAGCGUGGGGAGCAAACAGG
rnacentral:rRNA from 1 species